AGGAGAAUCGCUUGAACCCUGGAGGCGGAGGUUGCGGUGAGCCCAGAUCACACCAUUGCCUGGGCAACAAGAGCGAAACUCUGUCUCAAAAAAAAAAAAAAAAAAAUUAUUGCUGGACCUGCUCCUCCCAGCGCUCAGGGGCAGGAGCUUGCUGGAAGUCACAUGCCAGCUACAGAUGCACUGGGCCAGACGACCUGAGAUGGUGGUGCCACCUCACUGCACAGCCCAGGCAGAGGCUGUGUCUCCACCCAGAGGGUCCGAAAGGUCAUGUUCCACGCUAGGGCUCCGGGCGGAGAGGCCGGAAGAGGCGGGGAUGCCGGCGACUCAGUAGUAAGGUGCUUUCGCCCUCUUGCUGUACUUGGGCAGCGGGGAGUCUGGGCAGGAACACUCUUCCCUCCCAGCAAAGGAGCUGGACCCAGCACGGCUCAUCGGGGAUUGAAGACCCAGCCCUGGCCCUCACAGGAGGAGCCAACAGCACCACGCCAGUUACUUCCAACCAGACAGUCCCGGGCAGGGAUGCCAGCAGACAGCUGGCACGGGAGGAAGCCCAAAAUAACCCAGACAGCUGGGGUGAGGGGGUGCCAUGGGCACAGGCGCUGGCUGCCAAGUCAAGCCACCUGGAACCCCAUCCUGGCUCUAUUGGUGGUGGCCUUGUGACCUUGGGGAGUCACUUCUCCCCGGACCAUGGGUGGGUGACCCAAAUCUUGACCCCAUCAUGGAACAGCCCCUGUGGAUGGGGAAAGGCCUGCAGCUGGACUCAACCACUCCAGAGGAGAACCGCGUUGGCCGCCUUCCCAGGGAGCGCCAGAUUCCCCUUUGCCCUGAGGCAGGGACACGUGCUUCAGCAGGUGGGCUGGUGCGGGGGGAAGCUCUGAGGCAGCCCAGCCCCCACCCCCUGCAGCCACUCCCAGCAAUAACCACGAUCACAAUGGAGGCCAACUAAAAGCUUGGGAGGAGGGCCUCUUUAACGCACUUAAUCCUCCCACCACCCUUUCCAGCAGGCAUCCUUAUCACUUUACAGGGAGACACUCACCCAAGGUCACCAGCACUGAGAGAUCCUAGCCCAUGGCGAACUAUCUCCCUUAACUUAGCACCAAGAUACCUUUAGCAAGAUCUCCUUGUUAAUCCGAACAGGCCCCCAGAGCUCGGUGUAGCCCUCACAGCGGGAGUGGGGCACAAGUCCCAAAUAGGGGAGGUGGUGUGAUCAGGAGCACCUGGACCCAAAUGGUUCAUCAAAGCAAUCACAAAGCAGAAAUCACAAGGAGGGGGGCUCCGAGACCAAGGGCCGCCAUCUCCAGCUGUGGAGCUUCUUAGACACUGAGAUGGGAAACUAUUCAAUACAUGAAGUCGGCUAGCGUUAGAAUGAAAUCAAUUACUAUGUGCCAAGCGUGGAACGUGGCACUUCUGCGUCAAAACCCCAGGUGUUACCAGGCUAGGGGCUGGAGUCUCAAAAUGUGUUCCCAGACCACAGCAUCAGCCUCACCUCACCUGGGAACUUGUUAGAAAUGCCAGUCCUAAGGACCAACCCACUGAAUCAGACACUUGGGCACCAGGCCCGGUGGUCCAUUUUCAGUGAGCCCCCCUUCCGGUGUGAUUCUGAUGCCGGUUCCAGACUAAGAACCACUGAUCUAGCCCUGUUUUCGGAGAUGGAGAAAUAGGCUUGGAGGCUAUACC
rnacentral:lncRNA from 1 species